UUUUGCCAACACCAGGAGAACCAAUGACCAAGAUUGAUCCUCCUCCCUCUAUCAAGUCUCUUAUGAUCUCUGCACUUCCAGACACAGCUCUACCAACUCUACAUGUUAGACCAAUUAUUUGCAGUUUCCGGUUACGUAUAGCGCUUAUACGAUGCAACGAUCUGUUAAUCCCCGACCGGUUAUCAUCCGAAAAAUCACCAACCUAUAAUUGAAAAGUAAUUGAAAAAGCUAAAAAUAUUUGAUAAGUGAGUUUGCGUGUGAUAAGAGAUCAAAGACACGCACACACCUUUGAUACGGCAAGCUUCAGAUCUUGCUGUGUGACAGGCAUCUCCGAGAUCACCCAAUCGCCGGAAGGGAAUCGAGCGAGUGGCUUUCUCCCUAAAUCCAUCACUACUUCGAUCAAUUCCCCGAUCGCCUCGUGCUUAACGAGCUCUUUCCGAGUCGCCGGAGGGAGGAUCUCGAGGAAAGCGUCGAGCUCCACCACCGUUGGAGGCGACGGCGGCGUCUUCCGAGAUGAGGAGCUUUCUGAAGGUAGCUGAACGUCGAAGGUGAAUCCAUCAGACGGUUUCCGUAGUGGAGACGGUGAAGCAGGAGACUUCGACGAUGCGAUCCUCUGACGCGCGCCACGUGUUCGACGGAAUGAGGAGGAGGAGGAGUCGGAUGAGAAGGCGGUUGCGGUGGCGGAGAUCAACCGUCGCGAAUAUUAUUUACGAAGACUUUUACAGUGAAUGUACAAUGUUCAAGCAUGUCUCCAAUGUAUAUAUGAUCCAUGUACUGAGUCAGAGAUGUCAAUCCUUGAGGAAAGGAAGACGAGUCACUGUAUUUCCCAUGCUAUCAUCUCCUGCUUUCUUUGGAGACAACAUUUUUUUGGUGGAUCUUCGAGGAAGUAUCUGAAGACGAGGGUUAAGGUGAGUGCCGAGAUUCUCCACCGCGAGUUGAUAACUCUCUACCAGCUCUAGCUGCCGGACUAUUAUGUCUGACCGUCUUGGAAGAAGCUCCACCGGUUCACCUCCUGGGAUGACUAUGUAUUCGAUUGCUAGACGUACCUCCUGCAUUACAGAAACAUGGACUAGAUCAGUUACUACACUGGCAAGUGCCUAAACUAUAUUCAGUGUAAACCAUAUUGAGCCUUUUGUACAUGAGACUGUUUAAAUUCAGUGAACUAAGAGAUAUUAGUUUUACCUCGAGGGCAUCAAGUUCUUCUAAACUGGGUUUGCUCUCUGGAGCAUCAUCGUUGAUCUCAAUAUCAUCAACAGAAGACUUCUUCUCUAUGGUUAUAGGGGCUGAGCCAAACGAUUCUCUCCCAAGGAUCAUUCGAACUGCCUUGACCAUCUGAGCCAUUGUAGUUGACUGCAAGGUAAAAACAUGAAGAAGGAAAUGGAUCUAACUAGUGAAACAUAGGAAUACUCUAAAUCAUCAUUAUCAUCAGUCAUCAUACAAGAAGAAGGAUACCUUGAUGACAAAUAUCGGCAGCUUGUGUAAUUUGGCAACACGGCGGAUCGAGGGAUUCUGUUUCAGUUCAGAACUUGAGGCUAGAAUGACAUCUGCUUCUCCAACGUCAUCUGUCACUUCUAUGUCGUCUUCCAGUCCCAUCACUUCGGCUACUUGAAGGAGAUCAGCUUCGGCGACCUAAAUCACAGUAAUAUAGUUAGUAUCUUUCGCUCUUUAAGAUCAAGAUUACUUUCCAAUGAGGGGUUCCUUACAUUGUAAGUAUAAACAUGAACAGGUGAACUUCUUUGGCUCACGGAUAUGUUUCUGCUAGCCUUCUUAUACCGAGAGGGAAGGAAGUCUUCAUCUUCGUCGUCAGAGAGCACUUCACUUGCAAAAUCUAUGUUGAGCAGUGGUGCAGGCUCCACUUCAAGGCUCUCCAGAGGAAUGGGAGUCACUAGCUUAUGAGGAACAUCGUCUUCGCCACGAAUCUGACGGAUCUCACAUGGAGCGGACUUCCCUAUAAUAACAAAAAAAGUUGUUCAGUUUGGAUUCACUAUGAAGGGGGAAACUGUUUUAAAGUUAACUUACCAGCAAGUAUAGCAUCAACAGUGACAUCUAGCCGUUGAUGAACACGGCACUCCGUUCUCGAAAUCAUCUCUACAGCACAAGUAAACGUUGGUGGUCCUUUUCUUUCGAGAAUUGUCUUCUGCACUUUUCGUUUCCUUGCUUCUUCAUCACCAAGAGUCACACUCUGUUUAAAAAAAAAUUCAAUUUAAUGUCCACUCUUACAAUAAAAGAGCAAAAGAAGAAGAAGGUUGAAGUCUAAGGUCACAACCUCAAUACCACCAAUAAGGAUCUGCAAUGAUGGAUUCUUGAUGAUGUUGUCAAUAGUCAUCCCAUGAGCAGUUGCAACAAGCUGGACUCCUCUCUGAGCAAUAGUGCUAGCAGCUAAUGCCUCAAGCUCUGUUCCUAUCUCAUCUAUAAUUAUAGUCUCAGGCAUGUGAUUCUCAACCGCCUCAAUCAUAACCUGUGUGAGAGAUUAAGAUUCUUUUCAUUCCAUCUCGCAACAUAUACUUUUAUCACAAAGGUCAAGAGUUCAUAGAACGUACAUCGUGCUGCAAAUUCACAUUUGGAACUUGCAUCCGCCUAGCACGGCCGAUUCCAGAAUGAGGAACAUCGCCAUCACCACCAAUCUCAUUUGACGUGUCGACAAUCACCACACGUUUCCUGUGCUCAUCAGCUAGCAUCCGUGCGAUUUCUCUGUAACAUCACAAUCGCAUUAGGUGAACAUCAUUCAUUACAUUAAAGUUCAUUAAUAAACAAACGUACCUGAUUAAAGUUGUUUUGCCAACACCAGGAGAACCAAUGACCAAGAUUGAUCCUCCUCCCUCUAUCAAGUCUCUUAUGAUCUCUGCACUUCCAGACACAGCUCUACCAACUCUACAUGUUAGACCAAUUAUUUGCAGUUUCCGGUUACGUAUAGCGCUUAUACGAUGCAACGAUCUGUUAAUCCCCGACCGGUUAUCAUCCGAAAAAUCACCAACCUAUAAUUGAAAAGUAAUUGAAAAAGCUAAAAAUAUUUGAUAAGUGAGUUUGCGUGUGAUAAGAGAUCAAAGACACGCACACACCUUUGAUACGGCAAGCUUCAGAUCUUGCUGUGUGACAGGCAUCUCCGAGAUCACCCAAUCGCCGGAAGGGAAUCGAGCGAGUGGCUUUCUCCCUAAAUCCAUCACUACUUCGAUCAAUUCCCCGAUCGCCUCGUGCUUAACGAGCUCUUUCCGAGUCGCCGGAGGGAGGAUCUCGAGGAAAGCGUCGAGCUCCACCACCGUUGGAGGCGACGGCGGCGUCUUCCGAGAUGAGGAGCUUUCUGAAGGUAGCUGAACGUCGAAGGUGAAUCCAUCAGACGGUUUCCGUAGUGGAGACGGUGAAGCAGGAGACUUCGACGAUGCGAUCCUCUGACGCGCGCCACGUGUUCGACGGAAUGAGGAGGAGGAGGAGUCGGAUGAGAAGGCGGUUGCGGUGGCGGAG
rnacentral:lncRNA from 1 species